AGACUCCUGAUUUGGGCUGCUUUAGAUUGUUGUAAUCUUAACUAUACGAUCACGCUUAAUAAAACCGCUUGAGAAAGAAAUACUGGACUUGUCAUCCAUAAGCUUGAGCUGACCCUCAAUAGGAUCCUGUAAGACAGAAGGCUUACAUGAACUUUCUUGGUGCCAGUGACCAGGACUGAGCGAAGUUCAAUACAGAGUAAGUGGUUGCUGGACAGGUUGUCGAAAAAGGGGUAGUGACGGAGAUAAGAAAGGUUCUUCCAAAGACACUGUAUUUUGUUGUGAGAAUCCAGAGAAAAGGACCUCUAGCGACAUUAUUGAACUUGAACCAAUCCCGAAAGUCACUAGGAUCCAAGAGAAACCCCGACGAAGCGGAAGAAUCGCAACUCGCAAAUUGGCCAGUAACACGGGGACCAUUUCGACUAAACUAGCACAACAAUUUCUUGGAGAGGAGGAAAAUGAAGACUAUCCAUGGACCAAAUACUAUCGACCGGACCCAGAGCUGGCACGUAAAUACCUGGAAGAGAAGGCCGCGAUGUCUACGCAACAGAGGAACGCAGGAGACGCUCCGCGAGAAGUCGCCUCGCCAUCCGCGCCGACCCUCUAUCCACGGGUGCCGAUGAUGGAUGAAUAAUUAUGCUACAGCCGCGAGGAAGUUGUGUAUUCCUUAUGAAAGGAUUGUGAAAUUUAGCGAAAAUUAAAAAAAUGUGAAAUGUGUUAAAGUAGGAAUGUGCGUUAUCUUGUGCUAAUGUAAAUCUUGUAUUUGUUGAUUCACUCUGGAGAAAUUCAGGAAGAAACCGAUGGACUCCGAACUUAUGACGCGAACCUCGCCCCUAGGAAGGAAGAGAUAUUUUUGUGAACUUAUAAGCAUGCACUGACUUUGUAUAUAUAUGUGACAUCAAGCUUAAUCAUACUUAGUAUUACUUUGAUGAUGAAUUACGAUUAUAUUCAACUAUGGUUAUUUCAUCUUGGUCAUUAUUAUCAUACUUUAUUCAUUAUUGUUUUCAUGAUUGUAAUGCGAUAUAAUCAAGCUAUAUGAUUUUAUGAACAUGUAUACGUCCUGGGUAUAGAUUUGUUUUUAUAGAUGAAUGGUGUUCCAAGCCGGAGGUGGAAACAUGUCACUUGUUACUAUCUCUUAACAUAGAUGUUCUGACUGGUAUGUCACUAGGAAGUUCGUCUGAUCAAGGGUAGAUCAAGGACGCUUUCCUAUUCCGGGCGCCAGGCAUGAGAAAUCUCCCUUCGGGAUAUUUCUUUUGUUUGGGGGACGUAUGUAAACAGAUAGCCAUGCUAUGACCUUGAAUUGCUAGUAUUACAUAAUGGUCACUAUGAUAUUUAUGUGUACCUAGAUUCUGCGCACUGAAUGGUGUUAAUGAUAAUUGACAGAAUGAACUCUGUGACUCUUGUAGCAAUGCGUAGUAUUCCUAAAUGAUGUUAUGAAACCAGGUCAUAAUACGGGCAGAAUAAUAUCCAAAUUGAGAGUUUAACAACAUGUGACCUAUUUGGCGAUUCUGUGUCUGCAACGAAUGCUCUAGUAUUCUAUAUUGAGUCAUGUAUUGUGUAUUCUAUAUAUUAACCUUUGUAACCUUUUAUGCCGUGUAUGAAUGAACGUAUUGUGAGUAAGUGAUGCCUCAUACUAGGUGGGGGGGGGCUCCGAGACCCAGGACUCGGAGACCCACAUCCUGCAUCCAGACUCUUUGAUUGGCAGUUUUGACGGUUUUGUUACUUUAUUUAGGAAUAAAAUAUUAAUCUUAAUUUUGAACAUUAAAUGUUCACUCAUGAUCGUCGUAUAUGGGCCGAACUAGUCAAAACUGUCCAUCAUAAGUAAAACCUUAUAUAUACCCAUAUGAAAUGAGAUUGUGCAGACUCCUGAUUUGGGCUGCUUUAGAUUGUUGUAAUCUUAACUAUACGAUCACGCUUAAUAAAACCGCUUGAGAAAG
rnacentral:sRNA from 1 species